rnacentral:rRNA from 1 species
UACGGAAGGGUGCAAGCGUUACUCGGAAUUACUGGGCGUAAAGGCGUGACGUAGGUGGUUUGGUUAAGUCUGAUGUGGAAAGCCCUGGGCUCAACCUGGGGAAUUGCACUUGGAUACUGGGCAGGCUAGGAGUGCGGUAGAGGAUGGCGGAAUUCCCGGUGUAGCAGUGAAAUGCGUAGAGAUCGGGAGGAACAUCUGUGGCGAAGGCGGACCAUCGUGGACCAGCAGUGACACUGAGGCACGAA